GAGUGCUAGCGUGGAGUUAGCUAGGUCUGGCCACAUCACAACCUGAGGCUUUCUGCAGCUCCGCUGGUCGUGACUAACACAGAUAACUACCGACUCCUUUUGACUCUGUUUGUUGUGUUUCUUUAGGGUCCUCCUGGUCCUCAUGGAAACCCUGGCUCACCUGGACCCCCCGGCCUGAAAGGUCAGAAGGGUGAUCCUGGGCUGUCGCCUGGAAAAGCUCGCAACGGACCUAAGGGAGAUAUAGGCUUACCUGGUUUGACUGGGUUCCCUGGACCACCUGGUCGAAAGGGAUAUAAAGGCUACCCUGGACCACCAGGUCACCCUGGAGAGCAGGUGAGUAUUCCCAGUUUCUAACAUUGAACCUUCAAAGAGGGAUGGAUUUCAUGGCUCCA
rnacentral:lncRNA from 1 species